rnacentral:ncRNA from 1 species
GUCAUUAAAUCAGUUAUGGUUCAUUUGAUCGUACAGUUUACUUGGAUAUCUGUGGUAAUUCUAGAGCUAAUACAUGCGAGAAGCGCCGACCUCGCGGGAGGCGUGCAUUUAUCAGACCAAAAACCGGCCGCGUCUUCGGGCGCGUUCGCCUUGGUGACUCUGGAUAACUUUGCGGAUCGCACGGUCUAGCACCGGCGACGGAUCAUUCAAGUGUCUGCCCUAUCAACUUUCGUCGGUACGGUAUUUGCCUACCGAGGUUCUUACGGGUGACGGGGAAUCAGGGUUCGAUUCCGGAGAGGGAGCCUGAGAAACGGCUACCACAUCCAAGGAAGGCAGCAGGCGCGCAAAUUACCCAUUCCCGACGCGGGGAGGUAGUGACGAAAAAUAACAAUGCAGGACUCGUUCGAGGCCCUGUAAUUGGAAUGAGUACACUUUAAAAGCUUUAACGAGUAUCCAUUGGAGGGCAAGUCUGGUGCCAGCAGCCGCGGUAAUUCCAGCUCCAAAAGUAUAUAUUUAAGUUGUUGCGGUUAAAAAGCUCGUAGUUGGAUUUUGGGCGCAGGCGGCCGGUCCGUCGCAAGGCGUGUACUGGACGUCCUGGCCUUCCCUCCGGUUCUCCGCCGGUGCUCUUGACUGAGUGUCGGCGGCGGCCGGAACGUUUACUUUGAAAAAAUUAGAGUGUUCAAAGCAGGCUCUCGAGCCUGGAUAAUGGUGCAUGGAAUAAUGGAAUAGGACCU